CCUACGGGUGGCAGCAGUGGGGAAUAUUGCACAAUGGGCGCAAGCGUGAUGCAGCCAUGCCGCGUGUAUGAAGAAGGCCUUCGGGUUGUAAAGUACUUUCAGCGCGGAGGAAGGCAUUAAGGUUAAUAACCUUGGUGAUUGACGUUACUCGCAGAAGAAGCACCGGCUAACUCCGUGCCAGCAGCCGCGGUAAUACGGAGGGCGCAAGCGUUAAUCGGGAUUACUGGGCGUAAAGCGCACGCAGGCGGUCUGUCAAGUCGGAUGUGAAAUCCCCGGGCUCAACCUGGGAACUGCAUCCGAAACUGGCAGGCUAGAGUCUUGUAGAGGGGGGUAGAAUUCCAGGUGUAGCGGUGAAAUGCGUAGAGAUCUGGAGGAAUACCGGUGGCGAAGGCGGCCCCCUGGACAAAGACUGACGCUCAGGUGCGAAAGCGUGGGGAGCAAACAGGAUUAGAUACCCCAGUAGUC
rnacentral:rRNA from 1 species